UCGUACAUUCCCGUAGGGUGAACCUGCGGAAAGGGAU
rnacentral:rRNA from 1 species